rnacentral:ncRNA from 5 species
GCCCAGUGCUCUGAAUGUCAAAG